rnacentral:rRNA from 1 species
GAUGAACGCUGGCGGCGUGCCUAAUACAUGCAAGUCGAGCGAACGGACGAGAAGUUUGCUUCUCUGAUGUUAGCGGCGGACGGGUGAGUAACACGUGGAUAACCUGCCUAUAAGACUGGGAUAACUUCGGGAAAGCGGAUCUAACACCGGAUGAUAUUUUGAACCGCAUGGUUCAUAAGUGAAAGACGGUCUUGCUGUCACUUAUAGAGGGUUCCGAGCUGCAUUAGCUAGUUGGUAAGGUAACGGCUUACCAAGGCAACGAUGCAUAGCCGACCUGAGAGGGUGAUCGGCCACACUGGAACUGAGACACGGUCCAGACUCCUACGGGAGGCAGCAGUAGGGAAUCUUCCGCAAUGGGCGAAAGCCUGACGGAGCAACGCCGCGUGAGUGAUGAAGGUCUUCGGAUCGUAAAGCUCUUUUAUUAGGGAAGAACAUAUGUGUAAGUAACUGUGCACAUCUUGACGGUACCUAAUCAGAAAGCCACGGCUAACUACGUG